GUUCAAGAGUGCACUUUAUUGUGGCUCUAACCUUUUUCAAUAUACCUUUCACCCUUUUUUAAACCCAAAGCUGUUAUGUGUGCCUCUUUUGAGGUAUAGCAUCUCAGUAGUACGCAUCAUGUGAAUUUUUAUAAUUCACAAGUUGCAUUACCUCCCCCCCUUUUUUAUUUAUUUAAAUUUAACACUGUAAAAAGUUUUUAGAAUGUAAUAAACCCCCUUUAAAUUAAUAUAACUUUUAACAAUGGAUCUCUUGGCUCUCACAUCGAUGAAGAACACAGUGACCUKUUUGAGUGUCAUGGAAACCCUCUCAUUCCAAUUUUUUAUUAAGUUAAGAAGUUGAAAUGGAUGUUGGGUGCUGCCGUCAUUGGCUCACCUUAAAUAUAUAAGUACUUUUAUUGAAAAAUAAAUGGAUAUACUUGGUGUGAUAUUUAUUAUUCAUUGAGGAGUGUGGUGCCUUAAAAACACUACAGCCAUUUGAGCUUUGAUAGAUAGCUUCCGAACCCCAAUAUAUAUAUCUUUUAGACCUCAAAUCAGGUGGGACUACCCGCUGAACUUAAGCAUAUCAAUAAGCGGAGGAAAAGAAACUAACAAGGAUUCCCCUAGUAACGGCGAGUGAAGAGGGAAAAGCC
rnacentral:rRNA from 1 species